rnacentral:rRNA from 1 species
GACGAACGCUGGCGGCGUGCCUAAUACAUGCAAGUAGAACGCUGAAGAGAGGAGCUUGCUCUUCUUGGAUGAGUUGCGAACGGGUGAGUAACGCGUAGGUAACCUGCCUUGUAGCGGGGGAUAACUAUUGGAAACGAUAGCUAAUACCGCAUAACAAUGGAUGACACAUGUCAUUUAUUUGAAAGGGGCAAUUGCUCCACUACAAGAUGGACCUGCGUUGUAUUAGCUAGUAGGUGAGGUAACGGCUCACCUAGGCGACGAUACAUAGCCGACCUGAGAGGGUGAUCGGCCACAAUGGGACUGAGACACGGCCCAGACUCCUACGGGAGGCAGCAGUAGGGAAUCUUCGGCAAUGGGGGCAACCCUGACCGAGCAACGCCGCGUGAGUGAAGAAGGUUUUCGGAUCGUAAAGCUCUGUUGUAAGUCAAGAACGAGUGUGAGAGUGGAAAGUUCACACUGUGACGGUAGCUUACCAGAAAGGGACGGCUAACUACGUGCCAGCAGCCGCGGUAAUACGUAGGUCCCGAGCGUUGUCCGGAUUUAUUGGGCGUAAAGCGAGCGCAGGCGGUUUGAUAAGUCUGAAGUUAAAGGCUGUGGCUCAACCAUAGUUCGCUUUGGAAACUGUCAAACUUGAGUGCAGAAGGGGAGAGUGGAAUUCCAUGUGUAGCGGUGAAAUGCGUAGAUAUAUGGAGGAACACCGGUGGCGAAAGCGGCUCCCUGGUCUGUAACUGACGCUGAGGCUCGAAAGCGUGGGGAGCGAACAGGAUUAGAUACCCUGGUAGUCCACGCCGUAAACGAUGAGUGCUAGGUGUUGGAUCCUUUCCGGGAUUCAGUGCCGCAGCUAACGCAUUAAGCACUCCGCCUGGGGAGUACGACCGCAAGGUUGAAACUCAAAGGAAUUGACGGGGGCCCGCACAAGCGGUGGAGCAUGUGGUUUAAUUCGAAGCAACGCGAAGAACCUUACCAGGUCUUGACAUCCCGAUGCUAUUUCUAGAGAUAGAAAGUUACUUCGGUACAUCGGUGACAGGUGGUGCAUGGUUGUCGUCAGCUCGUGUCGUGAGAUGUUGGGUUAAGUCCCGCAACGAGCGCAACCCCUAUUGUUAGUUGCCAUCAUUCAGUUGGGCACUCUAGCGAGACUGCCGGUAAUAAACCGGAGGAAGGUGGGGAUGACGUCAAAUCAUCAUGCCCCUUAUGACCUGGGCUACACACGUGCUACAAUGGUUGGUACAACGAGUUGCGAGUCGGUGACGGCAAGCUAAUCUCUUAAAGCCAAUCUCAGUUCGGAUUGUAGGCUGCAACUCGCCUACAUGAAGUCGGAAUCGCUAGUAAUCGCGGAUCAGCACGCCGCGGUGAAUACGUUCCCGGGCCU